rnacentral:rRNA from 1 species
UACGUAGGGUGCAAGCGUUGUCCGGAAUUAUUGGGCGUAAAGAGCUCGUAGGCGGUCUGUCGCGUCUGCUGUGAAAACUCAGGGCUUAACCCUGAGCUUGCAGUGGGUACGGGCAGACUAGAGUGCGGUAGGGGAGACUGGAAUUCCUGGUGUAGCGGUGAAAUGCGCAGAUAUCAGGAGGAACACCGGUGGCGAAGGCGGGGUCUCUGGGCCGUAACUGACGCUGGAGGUGCGAAAGCGUGGGGAGCAAACAGG